rnacentral:lncRNA from 11 species
AAAAAAGGCUCAACUUUCGGCCUGCCCACCCGCCUCCCUCCCUGCUUCCCGUUCACUCUCACCUCUCGUCAGGGAACACAAACCACAGACUAGGAGGCUCCUCAGCACGGCACUCAUCUUCCCUCCUCUGGCUCUCACCGGUGGGAAGGCUAAGGCGGUGGAGAAGGAGGAGGAGGAAAGCAACACCUCCUUGGCUGCCCUUUCAUUCUUUCACAGGGGCAGAAAUGGAGCGGCGCAUUGAUCCCCUUACACCUGCUGCAGCUGUCGACCAUUGGUGCUUUGGAGCUUCCUCCCCCUCUCCUGUCCUCUUCCCCAUGCACCCACAGCAGCCUGGAACUUCCAGAUAUGGCCAUUGUGUCAGCUGUGACAAGUUUGCUCCCAG